GCGGGAGGACAUUACAGAGUUGCAAACUCCCACAAACCAUCGCGAAUCUUACCCGUACGGUUGCCUCGGCGCUGGCGGUCCGGAAAGGCCUUCGGGCCCUCCCGGAUCCUCGGGUCUCCCGCUCGCGGGAGGCUGCCCGCCGGAGUGCCGAAACUAAACUCUUGAUAUUUUAUGUCUCUCUGAGUAAACUUUUAAAUAAGUCAAAACUUUCAACAACGGAUCUCUUGGUUCUGGCAUCGAUGAAGAACGCAGCGAAAUGCGAUAAGUAAUGUGAAUUGCAGAAUUCAGUGAAUCAUCGAAUCUUUGAACGCACAUUGCGCUCGCCAGUAUUCUGGCGAGCAUGCCUGUUCGAGCGUCAUUUCAACCAUCAAGCUCUGCUUGCGUUGGGGAUCCGCGGCUGUCCGCGGUCCCUCAAAAUCAGUGGCGGGCUCGCUAGUCACACCGAGCGUAGUAACUCUACAUCGCUAUGGUCGUGCGGCGGGUUCUUGCCGUAAAACCCCCCAUUCUAAGGUGACCUCGGAUC
rnacentral:rRNA from 1 species